UACUGCACGACAGCGGACGCGGUCCUUACCACGACGCCCGGUCCCCACUCCCUCUCCUACAAGCGACUGCCACAGGCCGGGGUGCGGAGCCGCGCCGAGCGCUUGCCCAGGGUGCAUGAGGCUCUGGCUUCUGUCCCCUGCACGUAACACGCACACAAGGCCAGCCUGGGCCACACAGCAAGACCCAGCCUCCACAGCAAAGCCAAACCUCCCACCUCCCGAAAAAGUUGCGGUUGUGGUGCUGACCAAAGUCACAAAUAAAAACUGUGCCUGCCAGAAGGUGACAUCCUCAACCGCACGGCAGCCAGCCCCACGGCCUGGGUGCCACAGGCACACGUUCAGGUGACAGCCCCUCGUGCCCCGGGGGUAGGCGCUAUUGAUUCGCACCAGCAAUUAAGAUUCCUGAAAUAGUGCCCAACAUUUACGCGCUUUACAGCAACGCGCAGGGAGUGAGCAGCAGACACCAUAAUUACAGCCCGCACGGCUCUCCGAAGACAGAGCGAGCGAACCCUCUCCCUCCUCCUCUGCCUCUCUGCAAGCCUUGCCCUCUGCCUGCUCUACUGGCUGCCUUCUGCUUCUCUGGAGUGGGCAGAGGUGGUGCACAGAGGAAAGGCCGCUUCCCCAGACGGGCCGAAGCCCCCGUGAACACGGCCAUGCCAAGCAGGUCUAGCUCUCCCUCCACACGCAAACCCAAGUGCCACCCAGCACCUGACCCCCGCGAGGUCGCUCCUUCACCAUGCGGCCUGGAAAGGCGACCCGGAGCUAGGGGAGCCAGAGGUAGUUCCAGGAGAGACUCGGAGCCAGGGAGGGAGCCUCAGGCCUGGGUGCCCGCUACUUGCUGACCCCAAACUGGCACCUGCCCCACCCCGAGUGGGCGCCCAAAGACACAGCAGAAAGUACACAGCGGAGCCAAGCGGGGUCACCACCGCGUGGGUGUCAGGCCUGGGCGCACCUGCAUAGUCAGCCCCAGCUUCUUGAUGCGGUCCUUCCCCUCCUUCGUCCAGGGUCCAGGUUCGUCAUCGUCCCUGCGAAGGAGGUAGCGCCACACGAGAAAGCCGGACUUGCCCUUCUCGGGCCAGUACUUCACCACCUGCAGGAACAGAUGGGCAGGGGGUGUUGGGAAGUGGAGCCUGAAAGGGGCGUGGCCGGGGAGGCCUUGUGAGGGGCGCGGCCUGAAGGGCGUGGUCUGGGGGGACUAAAGCGGAAGGGGCCAGGGGUGUGGGCGGGGCCUUGAAGGGAGUGGCCGAGGGAGUAGGCGUGGUCACAGGGCCGUUCCGGGAGCGCACAGCCCAGCGCGCCACAGCCCAGCGCGCCGCUCACCUUGUAGAUGCCGUCGUAGCGGUUGCCCUCGGCAGGUGGCCUGUGUUGGCUGCUGCACUAUGACAGCAAAGCCAAGCGUCUGCCACGAAGACCAAGUGCACAGCAAACUGGAAACCGCAGGUGCCCUGACAGACAGCGCUUUAAACCACCUGCAUGACACGCACAGCUUUAGCAAACAAGGGAAGAAAUUAAGUCAGGCUCCUCCACCCCCUGCUACACACUGUGCCGGGCCAUGCACCUGCCACGUGCCACACCGGAUCAGAACCAAGGACCCCCAGGGAGAAACAAGACCACUCAUCUCACAAACCUGUUGGUGUUGGUGAGUUUCUGGUCAGACGACUGCCCGGCAGUCCGCUUGUUGCCAGAAAGAUCGCGACCACCGCUACCUGUGUAGGUGAAAGAAUUCCCAUUGUCCUGCAACAGAGAAGAGGGGUCGGUGAGCCCUCCACCCAGGAGGAGGGAGCCAGGGAAACGGCCCACACGCCCACCAGCAUGCCCCCGGCCAGGACCAAGGAGUAGGCGCCAUCAUUGCUGCGCCCGUGGAUGCCUGCAACGUGAGGCCGAUGGACGCCAGACUCACUGACCUGUGGACACCAGAGACAGACAGCACCAUCAGCAGUGACCACGGCAGAGCAGCACCACGUCUUGACCCCCGACCCUGUGAGGCCUGGCGUCCCCACCCAUGACUUGGGCCACACGUCACCUGCAGUCUUGCGCACCAAGGGCAGCCCUGUGCUCAGCCAGGCCCACCCAGCUCUGCAGUGGGACACAAAGGGGAGUGCCUGGGUCCGCUCCGCCCAAAGUGGAAGUGUGGUCUGCUCACCCAGCAGACCUGCCCUGGGCACCCUGGGCCGUUUGUGUUGUCACAGUGUGGGUGACUGGCUUGGAGCGGAUGGAGGCCGGGGAUGCUGCUCGGGGCCGUGGACACCCACAGAGUCUGCUGGCCCUGUCAGCAGUGGCUGUGUGUCUCCUCCACCCUGCACACAGUGCACAGGCUGCCAGAGGGUUGGGGACAGAGCUCAGGGGCACAGCACUGGCCUAGCACACAUGAGUCCCUGAGCUCCGAAACCAAAAACAAAACCCAGGCUAGCCAGACACAGUGAAGCACAACGGUCAUCCCACAGCUCUGAGAGGCAGAGGCAAGAGGGUAGCAAGUUCAAGCCCAGCCUAGCUAUUUUGCCAAGAC